rnacentral:rRNA from 1 species
GAUCUUUAUUUUUAAUUUUUAUAAAAUAAAAAGAAUAUAAAUUUUUAUAAUUAAAUUAAAAAUUUUACUGGGGUGGUAUUAAAAUUUAAUUAACUUUUAUAAUUUUAAACAUUAAUAUAUGAAUAAUUGAUCCAAUUAUAUUGAUUAAAAAUUUAAGUUACCUUAGGGAUAACAGCGUAAUUUUUUUUUAGAGUUCUAAUCGACAAAAAAGAUUGC